rnacentral:rRNA from 1 species
GUAGUCAUAUGCUUGUCUCAAAGAUUAAGCCAUGCAUGUCUCAGUACAAGCCAUAUUAAGGUGAAACCGCGAAAGGCUCAUUAAAUCAGUUAUGGUUCCUUAGAUCGUACACACAUUUACUUGGAUAACUGUGGUAAUUCUAGAGCUAAUACAUGCAAACAGAGCUCCGACCGGAGACGGAAGGAGUGCUUUUAUUAGAUCAAGACCAAUCGGCGGCAAUUUGGUUUCGGCUUUAUUGUUCGUCGCACUUUUUGGUGACUCUGAAUAACUUUUGGCUGAUCGCACGGUCUAGCACCGGCGACGCAUCUUUCAAAUGUCUGCCUUAUCAACUGUCGAUGGUAGGUUCUGCGCCUACCAUGGUUGUAACGGGUAACGGGGAAUUAGGGUUCGAUUCCGGAGAGGGAGCCUGAGAAACGGCUACCACAUCCAAGGAAGGCAGCAGGCGCGCAAAUUACCCACUCCCGGCACGGGGAGGUAGUGACGAAAAAUAACGAUACGGGACUCAUCCGAGGCCCCGUAAUCGGAAUGAGUACACUUUAAAUCCUUUAACAAGGACCAAUUGGAGGGUAAGUCUGGUGCCAGCAGCCGCGGUAAUUCCAGCUCCAAUAGCGUAUA